GAUGAACGCUGGCGGCGUGCCUAAUACAUGCAAGUCGAGCGAACGGACGAGAAGCUUGCUUCUCUGAUGUUAGCGGCGGACGGGUGAGUAACACGUGGAUAACCUACCUAUAAGACUGGGAUAACUUCGGGAAACCGGAGCUAAUACCGGAUAAUAUUUUGAACCGCAUGGUUCAAAAGUGAAAGACGGUCUUGCUGUCACUUAUAGAUGGAUCCGCGCGGCAUUAGCUAGUUGGUAAGGGAACGGCUUACCAAGGCAACGAUGCAUAGCCGACCUGAGAGGGUGAUCGGCCACACUGGAACUGAGACACGGUCCAGACUCCUACGGGAGGCAGCAGUAGGGAAUCUUCCGCAAUGGGCGAAAGCCUGACGGAGCAACGCCGCGUGAGUGAUGAAGGUCUUCGGAUCGUAAAACUCUGUUAUUAGGGAAGAACAUAUGUGUAAGUAACUGUGCACAUCUUGACGGUACCUAAUCAGAAAGCCACGGCUAACUACGUG
rnacentral:rRNA from 1 species